rnacentral:rRNA from 1 species
GAUGAACGCUGGCGGCGUGCCUAAUACAUGCAAGUCGAGCGAACGGACGAGUAUCUUGCUUUUCUGAUGUUAGCGGCGGACGGGUGAGUAACACGUGGAUUACCUACCUAUAAGACUGGGAUAACUUCGGGAAACCGGAGCUCAUACCGGAUAAUAUUUUGAACCGCAUGGUUCAAAAGUGAAAGACGGUCUUGCUAUCACUUAUAGAUGGAUCCGCGCUGCAUUAGCUAGUUGGUAAGGUAAGGGCUUACCAAGGCAACGAUGCAUAGCCGACCUGAGAGGGUGAUCGGCCACACGGGAACUGAGACACGGUCCAGACUCCUACGGGAGGCAGCAGUAGGGAAUCUUCCGAAAUGGGGGAAAGCCUGACGGAGCAACGCCACGGGAGUGAUGAAGGUCUUCGGAUCGGAAAACUCUGUUAUUAGGGAAGAACAUAUGUGUAAGUAACUGUGCACAUCUUGACGGUACCUAAUCAGAAAGCCACGGCUAACUACGUG